GCAGUCGAGCGGUAACAUUUCUAGCUUGCUAGAAGAUGACGAGCGGCGGACCCGUUAGUAAUGCUUGGGAAUAUGCCUUAGGGUGGGGGACAACCAUUGGAAACGAUGGCUAAUACCGCAUAAUGUCUACGGACCAAAGGGGGCUUCGGCUCUCGCCCUAAGAUUAGCCCAAGUGGGAUUAGCUAGUUGGUGGGGUAAUGGCUCACCAAGGCGACGAUCUCUAGCUGGUUUGAGAGGAUGAUCAGCCACACUGGAACUGAGACACGGUCCAGACUCCUACGGGAGGCAGCAGUGGGGAAUAUUGCACAAUGGGCGCAAGCCUGAUGCAGCCAUGCCGCGUGUGUGAAGAAGGCCUUCGGGUUGUAAAGCACUUUCAGUUGUGAGGAAAGGUUAGUAGUUAAUACCUGCUAGUUGUGACGUUAGCAACAGAAGAAGCCCCGGCUAACUCCGUGCCAGCCGCCGCGGUAAUACGGAGGGUGCGAGCGUCCAUCGGAAUUACUGGGCGUAAAGCGUACGCAGGCCGGUUUGU
rnacentral:rRNA from 1 species